AAGGAUCAUUAAUGAAUUCACUAUGGAGUUGUUGCUGGCCUCUAGGGGCAUGUGCACGCUUCACUAGUCUUUCAACCACCUGUGAACUUUUGAUAGAUCUGUGAAGUCGUCUCUCAAGUCGUUAGACUUGGUUUGCUGGGAUGUAAACGUCUCGGUGUGACUACGCAGUCUAUUUACUUAUAACACCCCAAAUGUAUGUCUACGAAUGUCAUUUAAAGGGCCUUGUGCCUAUAAACCAUAAUACAACUUUCAACAACGGAUCUCUUGGCUCUCGCAUCGAUGAAGAACGCAGCGAAAUGCGAUAAGUAAUGUGAAUUGCAGAAUUCAGUGAAUCAUCGAAUCUUUGAACGCACCUUGCGCCCCUUGGUAUUCCGAGGGGCAUGCCUGUUUGAGUGUCAUUAAAUUCUCAAACUCACUCUGGUUUUUCCAAUUGUGAUGUUUGGAUUGUUGGGGGCUGCUGGCCUUGAAAGGUCGGCUCCUCUUAAAUGCAUUAGCAGGACUUCUCAUUGCCUCUGCGCAUGAUGUGAUAAUUAUCACUCAUCAAUAGCACGCAUGAAUAGAGUCUGGCUCUCUAACCGUCCGCAAGGACAAUUUGACAAUUUGACCUCAAAUCAGGUAGGACUACCCGCUGAACUUAA
rnacentral:rRNA from 1 species